UACGUAGGGUGCGAGCGUUAAUCGGAAUUACUGGGCGUAAAGCGCGCGCAGGCGGUUUUUCAAGUCAGUGGUGAAAGCCCGGAGCUCAACUCCGGAACUGCCAUUGAAACUGUGAAACUUGAGGAUGAGAGAGGUGAGUGGAAUUCCCAGUGUAGAGGUGAAAUUCGUAGAUAUUGGGAAGAACACCGGUGGCGAAGGCGGCUCACUGGCUCAUUUCUGACGCUCAGGCGCGACAGCGUGGGGAUCAAACAGG
rnacentral:rRNA from 1 species